AUUGAACGCUGGCGGCAGGCCUAACACAUGCAAGUCGAGCGGAACGACGGGCGGACGGGUAAUGCCUAGAAAUCUGCCUGGCAGUGAGGGAGAACGUCCGGAAAGGGGCGGUAGUAACGCAUGCUCUCAAAUGACCCUAGGUAGGUUUAGCUAGUUGGUGGGGUAAGGACCUAACAAGGCGACGAUCCGUCACUGGUCUGAGCGGAUGAUCAGGCACACUGUAAAUGAGACACGGUCCAGACGCCUACGGGAGGCAGCAGUGGGGAAUAUUGGACAAUGGGCGAAAGCCUGAUGCAGCCAUGCCGCGUGUGUGAAGAAGGCCUUCGGAUUGUAAAGUACUUUAAGCUGGGAGGCGUUACCAACAGAAUAAGCACCGGCUAACUUCGUGCCAGCAGCCGCGGUAAUUC
rnacentral:rRNA from 1 species